UGCGUCAGCUGAUAGCUGCUAUCCUAAAUAGUAGAGGAAAGUCCGUGCUAGUACUAACUGCGAUGUUAGUAGUGAUCGUGUUAAACCUAAUAAGUUUAAGCCUAGACGACUAGUGCCACAGAGACGAGAGUAGUGAAACGCGGUAAACUCCACGAACUAGAAACCCAAAUUUGGUAGGGGAACCAUUAACUAAGAAAUGAAUUAGAAAAUGGAACAUUUUAUAUGUUAGAUAAAUUAUCAGCACUUCGUUUUAAAUGAAGCACAGAACACGGCUUAUGAU
rnacentral:RNase_P_RNA from 1 species